rnacentral:rRNA from 1 species
GGUUAAGCGACUAAGCGUACACGGUGGAUGCCCUGGCAGUCAGAGGCGAUGAAGGACGUGCUAAUCUGCGAUAAGCGUCGGUAAGGUGAUAUGAACCGUUAUAACCGGCGAUUUCCGAAUGGGGAAACCCAGUGUGAUUCGUCACACUAUCAUUAACUGAAUCCAUAGGUUAAUGAGGCGAACCGGGGGAACUGAAACAUCUAAGUACCCCGAGGAAAAGAAAUCAACCGAGAUUCCCCCAGUAGCGGCGAGCGAACGGGGAGCAGCCCAGAGCCUGAAUCAGUGUGUGUGUUAGUGGAAGCGUCUGGAAAGGCGUGCGAUACAGGGUGACAGCCCCGUACACAAAAAUGCACAUACUGUGAGCUCGAUGAGUAGGGCGGGACACGUGGUAUCCUGUCUGAAUAUGGGGGGACCAUCCUCCAAGGCUAAAUACUCCUGACUGACCGAUAGUGAACCAGUACCGUGAGGGAAAGGCGAAAAGAACCCCGGCGAGGGGAGUGAAAAAGAACCUGAAACCGUGUACGUACAAGCAGUGGGAGCACGCUUAGGCGUGUGACUGCGUACCUUUUGUAUAAUGGGUCAGCGACUUAUAUUCUGUAGCAAGGUUAACCGAAUAGGGGAGCCGAAGGGAAACCGAGUCUUAACUGGGCGUUAAGUUGCAGGGUAUAGACCCGAAACCCGG